rnacentral:rRNA from 1 species
AUUGAACGCUGGCGGCAGGCUUAACACAUGCAAGUCGAGCGGGGUGAUGGUGCUUGCACCUUAUCUUAGCGGCGGACGGGUGAGUAAUGCUUAGGAAUCUGCCUAUUAGUGGGGGACAACAUUCCGAAAGGAAUGCUAAUACCGCAUACGUCCUACGGGAGAAAGCAGGGGAUCUUCGGACCUUGCGCUAAUAGAUGAGCCUAAGUCGGGUUAGCUAGUUGGUGGGGUAAAGGCCUACCAAGGCGACGAUCUGUAGCGGGUCUGAGAGGAUGAUCCGCCACACUGGGACUGAGACACGGUCCAGACUCUUACGGGAGGCAGCAGUGGGGAAUAUUGCACAAUGGGCGCAAGCCUGAUGCAGCCAUGCCGCGUGUAUGAAGAAGGCCUUCGGGUUGUAAAGUACUUUCAGCGGGGAGGAAGGCGGUGAAGUUAAUAACUUCACCGAUUGACGUUACCCGCAGAAGAAGCACCGGCUAACUCCGUGCCAGCAGCCGCAGUAA